CUGUUCUGUGACUUUCCCGCCUUUCCCAUAAACAUCCCUCCCUCCUCCUUCUCGAAUGAGCCGGUCUUAUCAGCGGUAUGUGUAGAGCCGUGCUUUGUAUGUUCUGUGAGUGUGUACAAACGGGAAGGUAAAUAGUGCGUACUGUGGGGCUGUUAUGAACUAACCUGAGUAAGCUGUGGUGAUUUCUGGAACACUUUUCGACAUCAAGAGUGAAGCGUGUGAUCAGAUGGAUUUCAUCUCAAACGGAUCAUGAGGUGUUGCACGAACGUGUGGAGUCCGGUCCAGCUCGAGUGCAGACGGGUCAGGAGGAGUCCAGGGAACUCGGGGCACAAGACAGGGGACAUACCCCGUGGAAGUGGUGCCAAAACAUCGCAGGCCACCAUCGCACACCCAUUACAGACAAUUUGGAAAUACCAAUCGGACUCGGGGAGGAAACCGGAGCACCUGGAGGGAAUCCUCGAAGCACGGGGAGAACAUGCAAACUCCACGCACACAGAGCAGAGGCGGGAUUCAAACCCCCAACCCUGGAGGUGCGAGACAAACCCACUAAACUGGAAACAUGGGCUUGUCACUAAUGUCCAGUAACCACCGUGUGCAACCUCACACCGGUAAAUACUUCAGAUCCUACUAAAGGCCAGUGUGUAUUUUGAGUAGCCUAAGUAAUAGUCUUGGAGUGUGUUCGUCAAGUGGAAAGUCAGAGAAAGUCAGGCCGAGCUGCAACACUAAGUCUGUGAAAACUCUACACAUGAUGGCAUACUAUACUCUCAUGGGACGUGUGCAAUGACUCAGUUUCACGUUCUUCUUCAAACGUUCUUCGUCUCGGUUUCCUGUA